rnacentral:rRNA from 1 species
UUGAACGCUGGCGGCAGGCCUCACACAUGCAAGUCGAGCGGAUGAAGGGAGCUUGCUCCUGGAUUCAGCGGCGGACGGGUGAGUAAUGCCUAGGAAUCUGCCUGGUAGUGGGGGAUAACGUCCGGAAACGGGCGCUAAUACCGCAUACGUCCUGAGGGAGAAAGUGGGGGAUCUUCGGACCUCACGCUAUCAGAUGAGCCUAGGUCGGAUUAGCUAGUUGGUGGGGUAAAGGCCUACCAAGGCGACGAUCCGUAACUGGUCUGAGAGGAUGAUCAGUCACACUGGAACUGAGACACGGUGCCGACUCCUACGGGAGGCAGCAGUGGGGAAUAUUGGACAAUGGGCGAAAGCCUGAUCCAGCCAUGCCGCGUGUGUGAAGAAGGUCUUCGGAUUGUAAAGCACUUUAAGUUGGGAGGAAGGGCAGUAAGUUAAUACCUUGCUGUUUUGACGUUACCAACAGAAUAAGCACCGGCUAACUUCGUG